rnacentral:rRNA from 1 species
GAUGAACGCUGGCGGCGUGCCUAAUACAUGCAAGUCGAACGCUGAAGCUUGGUGCUUGCACCGAGCGGAUGAGUUGCGAACGGGUGAGUAACGCGUAGGUAACCUGCCUCUUAGCGGGGGAUAACUAUUGGAAACGAUAGCUAAUACCGCAUAAAAGUCGAUAUCGCAUGAUAUUGAUUUGAAAGGUGCAACUGCAUCACUAAGAGAUGGACCUGCGUUGUAUUAGCUAGUUGGUGAGGUAACGGCUCACCAAGGCGACGAUACAUAGCCGACCUGAGAGGGUGAUCGGCCACACUGGGACUGAGACACGGCCCAGACUCCUACGGGAGGCAGCAGUAGGGAAUCUUCGGCAAUGGGGGCAACCCUGACCGAGCAACGCCGCGUGAGUGAAGAAGGUUUUCGGAUCGUAAAGCUCUGUUGUAAGAGAAGAACGAGUGUGAGAGUGGAAAGUUCACACUGUGACGGUAACUUACCAGAAAGGGACGGCUAACUACGUG